AAUCGUCUUUCUGAACACAAACUGCAAAAUCAAACCUUGAGAUACAAACUUGGUGGCUUAGAAGAUAUAGAAUCAUCUUCGACUUAACUGUUAAACGCAUAAACAUUGACCGUUCAUGCAUAAUGGUUUUCCAUGAAGGUAACAAUGAACAUGAGAACAUUGGAGGAUUGUAGUACAAUUAAGAGCUGUGAUGUAAAACACGAAUAAACUAGUGUUAUUGAAAAUGGUCGAUCGAAAGAUUGUGUAUAAGAAGAAAACACUUGAAAAUGGUGAGAAGAAAAUAUUUACCUUCGGCAUCAGUUGCAACAAGAAUUAAUAGAGAAAGUAAAUAGACCACAACAUAAACAUAUUUGAGAAUUUUAGUCAUAUUUUUUUCAUUC
rnacentral:lncRNA from 1 species